AGAGUUUGAUCCUGGCUCAGAAUCAACGCUGGCGGCGUGCCUAACACAUGCAAGUCGAACGCGAGAGGGGCUUCGGCCCCAAUUGAGUGGCAAACGGGUGAGUAACGCGUGGGUGACCUACCUUCGAGUGGGGGAUAACGUCUCGAAAGGGACGCUAAUACCGCAUGACAUCCUGCCUUUGGACAGGCGGAGAUCAAAGCCGGGGAUCGCAAGACCUGGCGCUUGGAGAGGGGCCCGCGUCCGAUUAGCUAGUUGGUGAGGUAACGGCUCACCAAGG
rnacentral:rRNA from 1 species